AAUCUUCAGGUAAUCUUCCCAAUUCUUCAGUUAAUUCUUUUUAAUCCAAGAUCAAUCGAUAUCCGUAUACCCAACCGUUAUUCCAUCACCACCAAUUCGUUGUAUAACCUAAUCAUCAUUUUUAGCCGUAGCGGAAAAACCUUCACAGGGGCCGUACACAAGUCCACCGCCGAUUGGUUAUCCGACCAGAGAUGCGGUGGUUGGUGAUCCUCGGGUAUCGUCAGUGGAGACGAAGUCCAAGGGUGAUGGGUUUUGGAAAGGAUGCACAGCUGCCAUAUGCUGCUGUUGUGUCCUGGACGCAUGCUUCUGAGACUUCGGAGUUAAAGAUUUUAUGCAGAUUAUUGCUGUAAUAAAAUAUAUUUGAUGAUUUGUUGUGUUACUUAAUUACUCUUUAUAUGUGGAAUAAACUCUGCCGAUGGUUGUUUUA